rnacentral:rRNA from 1 species
UACGUAGGGUGCAAGCGUUGUCCGGAAUUAUUGGGCGUAAAGAGCUCGUAGGCGGUCUGUCGCGUCGGCUGUGAAAACCCGGAGCUCAACUCCGGGCCUGCAGUCGAUACGGGCAGACUGGAGUUCGGCAGGGGAGACUGGAAUUCCUGGUGUAGCGGUGAAAUGCGCAGAUAUCAGGAGGAACACCGGUGGCGAAGGCGGGACUCUGGGCCGAUACUGACGCUGAGGAGCGAAAGCGUGGGGAGCAAACAGG